AUUGAACGCUGGCGGCAGGCCUAACACAUGCAAGUCGAGCGGAACGGCGGACGGGUGGGUAAUGCCUAGUAAUCUGCCUGGUUGUGGGGGAUAACUUCCGGCUGCAGGCGCUAAUAAAUCAUACUUUCAGUUAAGCCUAGGUCGGAUUAGCUAGUUGGUGGGGUAAAGGCCUACCAAGGCGACGAACCGUAACUGGUCUGAGAGGAGGAUCAGGCACACUGGAACUGAGACACGGUCCAGACUCCGACGGGAGGCAGCAGGGGGGAAUAUUGGAAAAUGGGCGAAAGCCUGAUCCAGCCAUGCCGCGUGUGUGAAGAAGGGCUUCGGAUUGUAAAGCACUUUAAGUUGGGAGGCGUUACCAACAGAAUAAGCACCGGCUAACUCCGUGCCAGCAGCCGCGGUAAUUC
rnacentral:rRNA from 1 species